rnacentral:rRNA from 1 species
CCUACGGGUGGCAGCAGUGGGGGAUAUUGCACAAUGGGGGAAACCCUGAUGCAGCGACGCCGCGUGUGGGAAGACGGUCCUCUGGAUUGUAAACCACUGUCCCCAGGGACGAAGAUGACGGUACCUGGGGAUGAAGCUCCGGCUAACUACGUGCCAGCAGCCGCGGUAAUACGUAGGGAGCAAGCGUUGUCCGGAAUUACUGGGUGUAAAGGGUGCGUAGGCGGCCUGUUAAGUCUGGGGUGAAAGGUACCGGCUCAACCGGGACAGGCUCUGGAAACUGGCGGGCUAGAGUGCAGGAGAGGGCGGUAGAACUCCAUGUGUAGCGGUAAAAUGCGUAGAUAUAUGGAAGAACACCAGUGGCGAAGGCGGCCGCCUGGCCUGUUACUGACGCUGAGGCACGAAAGCGUGGGGAGCAAAUAGGAUUAGAUACCCCAGUAGUC